rnacentral:rRNA from 1 species
AUUGAACGCUGGCGGCAGGCCUAACACAUGCAAGUCGAGCGGAUGAAGGGAGCUUGCUCCUGGAUUCAGCGGCGGACGGGUGAGUAAUGCCUAGGAAUCUGCCUGGUAGUGGGGGAUAACGUCCGGAAACGGGCGCUAAUACCGCAUACGUCCUGAGGGAGAAAGUGGGGGAUCUUCGGACCUCACGCUAUCAGAUGAGCCUAGGUCGGAUUAGCUAGUUGGUGGGGUAAAGGCCUACCAAGGCGACGAUCCGUAACUGGUCUGAGAGGAUGAUCAGUCACACUGGAACUGAGACACGGUCCAGACUCCUACGGGAGGCAGCAGUGGGGAAUAUUGGACAAUGGGCGAAAGCUUGACCGAGCCAUGCCGCGUGUGUGAAGAAGGUUUUCGGAUUGUAAAGCACUUUAAGUUGGGAGGAAGGGCAGUAAGUUAAUCCCUUGCUGUUUUGACGUUACCAAAAGAAAAAGCCACGGCUAACUUCGUG